UAGCUCAGUGGUUAAGAGCACUGACUGCUCUUUCAGGGGACCUGGGUUCAAUUCCCAG
rnacentral:tRNA from 1 species